GGGCAGCCCCGCCCCCUUUACUAGAACCACAGCCCCCAGGGCAGGACUGCCCCAGCCUGUGCACACUGUCCAAGACCCGGGGACAGCUCCCAGCACACAGCAGGAGCCUCAAAAACCCGCGAAUGAAGAAGCGACCAAGGGCCCCACCCAUCCCUAGAGCCCUGCUGACCUCCUGCUGCUGACCCGGCCUGACGCUCACCCAGCAGCCAACCCUGCCCAGCCUGGGUACCCUGGCAGCCCCUGAGCACCUGGGACCUGCUCCUUGGGUGUUCACAGGGGUGAAGUGAGGCACCGCCAAGCUUCUAGAGCUGGCACCUGACCCUGGCUGCACGGCCUCACCGAGGACAUCUUUCCUGUGUAGAAAGGAGACUUUGCGCAUGACAGCCAUCCGCGUCUUCUCCAGGCCGUCCUUGGUCCCGCUCUUGGCGGCCUUCAUGAGCUGGGUCAUCUGAGCAAAGGCAGAGUGGCUCAUCAGAGAGGCCGAGGACCUGGACACCUGCCGCCAAGGGCUGCCAGUCCCACUGGACCUCAGCCUGGCUGCAGACAUCAGGACCACCCGACCACCACUCCCGGGUGCCGAAUUAAGGAGUGCACACCUGUAAUUCCAGCUACCUGCGAGGCUAAGACAGCCCGGAGGCAGCGGCCAGACCCACCCACCAGGGUCAGCAAGACCAAGCAGCCGGCUGGGCAGGCCCUGCAGAGCUGACCCGCCACGCAGGCACGGGCUUGCUGCAGGGGCCACCGGGAAGAGGUGCACACAGGUGCAGUGAUGGCAGAACGACGGCUGCCCCCAGGGUGCGAGGGACAGUCAGCCUGAGGUACAUGAGGGGACAGCGGUGGCCGCCACCCACUGCUCUCUUGGAGCCGAGCACCCCACAGACCUGAUCACCGGGGGCCACUCCUCCCGACACCCGGCUCACAGGCAAGAAACCCAAGUCCAGAGGGGCCAUGAGGCCUGCCAGGACCACAGAGAGAGAAAGUGGCAGGACCUCGAAAGCCAGUGAUGGCCACCAGGCCACACAGUGAGCCUCACUCGAGAGCAGCUACUAACACGAUGUCACCUAGAAGCCCAGGUCUUGCCUGAGGGGGCUGCAGCUUCUCCCACAGACUUCCUCCCCCUGGGCCUCUCGGAGCAUCCUGGAGGGGCGGUCCAAUGUCACCCGCUAGAUUCCUCCAGGUGUAACCCAGCCCGCCCUCCGUGGUCACUGAGUACUGCAGAACCAGCACCAGGCCAAACUCGGGAGUGUGUGUUUUAACCAAAGGCCUCGGGUGAGUCUGGGAGUCUGCAAACCUCCCGGGUUCCUGUGGGCAUUAGCAUCUCAGGUGAAGAAGGGAAGGUGCAGCAGAGUCGCAGAGGGACGGCUGGCUUCGGGCACUGCCCCUCGCAGGGCAGGUGGAAUGCAGCCAGGCGCCAGGGCUGGUGCAGCGGAAAGGCUCCAUGGGUGGCCGCAGCUCAUGAGGGCCCCUCCGGCCGGGGCGGGGCGGACGGACGGACGGACAGUACCUUACAAUCGUACUUGUGCUUCAGCUCCUGCAUGUCUCUCCCCCCAACUCUUAAAGCCAAGAUGUCCCUCUUAGUCCUGGCGUAUCUCUCCUUUAGCCUAGUCAGGUCUGGAGACAGCUGGAGCGCAAGCGGCAGGCAGAGGAAAGCAGGCGGGAGGAGCAGGCGGAACAGGAGGGACAAACAGACACAGGAGAGAGGAGACUCAGUCAAGUGAGGCGGACAAAGGGCAGGCGGGACAGCACCCCGUGGGCAGCUGGGUCGGUCCCGCUGGGGUCUGCCCAGCAGCGUCCAGGCCAAUGUGCUGGGGUCUCUGUGCAGGGGGUCCGGCCGCUGGGGAGCAAGGCAGGGCGGGAACGAGGCCAGGUUCCCCUCUCUGGGGAAGGGGACUGUUCCGGGGACCAGGGCAUCUCCCCCAGCCCGGGCCCGUGUAGGGCUUGUAACUAGAGGUUCCUGGCACAUUCGUGAGGAGGACCUAACGGCAGGGCAGGAGCGUCAGUGGACACGUAGGCCAAAGCACAGAAAGAUGGAUGAGUGGGCAGGGGGUGGCUGGACAGAUGGGUGGACGACAGACAGACACUGGGUAGAUGAUGAAUGGACAGGCCAUCGGAUGGGUUUGGUCUGGUGACUGUACAGCUGGGCAAGUGGAGAGAUGGACAGAGGAGGUCAGCAGAGGAUGUGAACAGGUGGAUGGAGACAUGGCCGAGCGCGCUGGGCAGUGCCUAACAGCCAGCUCUCCAGGAAGAAGAGCCCUGUGGGCGGCACUGCACUUGAGUACCCUCCCACCUGGGCCAACUGACUUCCACAGCGACCGAGAACGUGGGCUGAACCGAGAUGCGGCUGCGGUGCGGGAGUUCCCAUGAGCAGCACUGCAGCCCCGCAGCCCUGCAGGAUGCCGGCUGCACAGGAGGGCAGGCGACGGGCGGGCGGGGACUGGCUUACGGACACCCCCCAUGAUGAUGGACAGAAAGGGAGACGCACAUUCAAAUGCGUGAGCUGUGUAAGCAAGAGGGACACUAAGUACAGUACACAGAAGACCAACACGGAUAACGGACACGUAGAAGGUUCUAGAAUGUGAGCUCUGGGGGCCGCAGGUCUACAUGCAAAUUGUGGCUCCCACUUGCUGGCUGGAAAAGUCUCUUUCCCUCUCCGAGUUGCAGCUUGUGUGCUGGUAAAAUGCACAUAAGAGGCCAUGAGAACAGCCCACUGGGCCGUGGGGUCAUUGAGAUAAUAGCUCACAGAGAAAAUUAAGUGUAAAGCCCAAAAUUUAGUAAGUAGCCAGAAACCAAAUGCCAAUAUUAUUCUAUUUUUAAAAUUAUGAGUGAUCAGUGUUUGUUAAGUGGAUGGGAGGAUAGAUGGAUGGACAGAUGGGUGGAUGGGUGGAUGAAGAGAUGGACAGAGAGAUGGCUGAGGUGUUUUAUCCAUAUGUGAUGCUGAGUUUUGGCUCUACCAUUUACUGGCUGUGUGACCCGAAGCCCAUCACUAACCUCUCUGAGCUUAAGUCACAUAGGUUUUCUGAACAACAAAAUGAGAAUCUUCAUAAUAGUGACCACCCUAGGGUAGUAGGAAAAAUCUAGUGGAACUGCUUUUGAACUGUACCGCACUGGGUAAAUGGUCUCUAUUAUACAAGUAUUAGGACAGGGAUCCUGUGACAGUGA